AUUGAACGCUGGCGGCAGGCCUAACACAUGCCAGUCGAGCGGAUGAAGGGAGCUUGCUCCUGUAUUCAGCUGCGGACGGGUGGGUAAUUCCUAGGAAUCUGCCUUGUAUUUGGGGAUAACGUCCGUAAACGGGCGCUAAUACCGCAUACGUCCUUAGGGAGAAAGUGGUGGAUCUUCAGACCUCACGCUAUCAGAUGAGCCUAGGUCGGAUUAGCUAGUUGGUUGGGUAAAGGCCUACCAAGGCGACGAUCCGUAACUGGUCUGAGAGGAUGAUCAGUCACACUGGAACUGAGACACGGUCCAGACUCCUACGGGAGGCAGCAGUGGGGAAUAUUGGACAAUGGGCGAAAGCCUGAUCCAGCAAUGCCGCGUGUGUGAAGAAGGUCUUCGGAUUGUAAAGCACUGUAAGUUGGGAGGAAGGGCAGUAAGUUAAUACCUUGCUGUUUUGACGUUACCAACAGAAUAAGCACCGGCUAACUUCGUG
rnacentral:rRNA from 1 species